AGAGUUUGAUCCUGGCUCAGAAUCAACGCUGGCGGCGCGCUUAACACAUGCAAGUCGAACGAGAAAGUGGAGCAAUCCAUGAGUACAGUGGCGUACGGGUGAGUAACACGUGGGUAAUCUACCUCUUAGUGGGGAAUAACUUUGGGAAACCGAAGCUAAUACCGCAUAAGCUCGAGAGAGGAAAGCAGCAAUGCGCUGAGAGAGGAGCCCGCGGCCGAUUAGCUAGUUGGCAGGGUAAAAGCCUACCAAGGCAGAGAUCGGUAGCCGGCCUGAGAGGGCACACGGCCACACUGGCACUGAAACACGGGCCAGACUCCUACGGGAGGCAGCAGUGGGGAAUCUUGCACAAUGGGGGCAACCCUGAUGCAGCGACGCCGCGUGAGCGAUGAAGCCCUUCGGGGUGUAAAGCUCUUUCGUCAGGGAAGAUAGUGACGGUACCUGGAGAAGCAGCUGCGGCUAACUACGUGCCAGCAGCCGCGGUAAUACGUAGGCAGCGAGCGUUGUUCGGAGUUACUGGGCGUAAAGGGUGUGUAGGCGGUUGUUUAAGUUUGGUGUGAAAUCUCCCGGCUCAACUGGGAGGGUGCGCCGAAUACUGAGCGACUAGAGUGCGGGAGAGGAAAGUGGAAUUCCUGGUGUAGCGGUGAAAUGCGUAGAUAUCAGGAGGAACACCGGUGGUGUAGACGGCUUUCUGGACCGUAACUGACGCUGAGACACGAAAGCGUGGGUAGCAAACAGGAUUAGAUACCCUGGUAGUCC
rnacentral:rRNA from 1 species